GCGGCCAGGCUGGCGGGUUAGGGUUUGGUGGUUUAAUUGCAGGAGGGGGAACCACCUCGCUCGGGCCGGUGAUCCUCAGUGGCUGGGGGUCCGGGAUAUCGCCGAUAACUGCAUUCUGUACCGGGUCUUCGCACACGCCUCUCCCAUCGCGACUCUAAGCUCAUUGGCAUCCAGGUACAGGCUGACAUAGAUGUCGUUCCCCCGGGGACCUCAAAUCUUCUUGCUUCUAAAGGUGGCCUGAGAGGAAUGAUCCAGAUAAGACGUUUUGGAGAGCAGAGAACCUCUUAUUUGGAUUAAUUCUAGAGGCCACCUGUGGUUGUGGUCAGCAGGCCAGGGAGAAGGCAGCUGGUGAAGGCUUGACAUUGGCCGGAGGCAUGUCUCUGGAUUUAUUAUUUCUGCUGUUUUGUGACUGCGGUGCUCAUACAUUUGGGGAGAGGGGAAGGGGCAAUUUGAGGGGAAGGAUGACCAGAUAGAAGCUGAUGUAGGCUCUUUUUUGGAUGGUAGCUAUCUGCCAGUCAUCCCCUUUCAGGGAAACCCUUGGCCUCCUCCCCAUCCCUUUCUCCUCCCUCUGAGCAUUCUGAAAGUUCCAGCAAGGAGGGCUUCUGUGUGAUGGUGCAUUGGAGGGUCCUCGUGUGUAAGAGCGGUGUCAACUACCCUACCACAAGAGGACUGAGUCAGACUGACGCUUUUUAAAGGUUUCCUCUCAACUCUAACCUUUUCAGCUUAUAAGAUCGUGGUGGUGGUGGCCUUGCAAAACCAAGCAACCCAACUGUUUGCUGUCACUGGUUUAUUUAUAUUUUUUUGCUCACCACCUUUAAUGAGGUUACUGCCACAAUGGCACCUCGGGUUGAAGCCCAGUGACUAUGCUAUCCCAGCCUUGCUUUGGUUAGCUGAUUGGUCAUCUUCAGUUCAGUUCAGUCUCUCAGUCGUGUCCGACUCUUUGCGACCCCAUGAAUCGCAGCACGCCAGGCCUCCCUGUCCAUCACCAACUCCUGGUCAUCUUACCUUGCCGGCAAUCUCUGUGCCUUUGUAGUUUUCCACAAAACGCUGGGUUUUCUUCUGCCCGCCAUAAAAGAUGCUGUAAGAACCUGCACAAGUAUCUAGCCAUUUAACAAGGCAGCCUAGGACCAUUAUCUCAUUGUGUGUGUGUGUGUGUGUCUUCUCUCCUCACCGGAUUGUCAGUUCCCUAGGGACAGUGCCACAGUUUUUGUGUCUCCUGCACGGCACCCAGCGUUUGCCCUGUUCAUUUCAAAGGUGCUCAGUGAAUUCAGGCCAACCUUUUGUGAUUAUGCACUGUGGAAAUGGUGCUGAGGCUCGGGGGCCCUGUGUUGUGUAUGCAAAUAGGUUUGUUAUUAUUCCUGCUUCAUUUCCACCUUAGUCACUGUGGGAUCAGAGAAGACAGCAAUUCCAAAAUUGUUCCCUUGUAAAAACAAUAGUAUUUAAACAGAAAUAUUGGAAAACCAGUAUUAUUUGGGUAGUCACCAUCUGGCAAGCUCUGAGGUACAUGUCUUCAUGCAUCAGCAGUUCCAGUGGACUUAAGAGAUAAAGCCUAUCACUGAUGAGGAAACUGAGCCUUAGGGCUAAAGUAACCUACUCACUAUUACACAGCUGGCUAAACACUAGAGUUGGGAUUUGAAUCCAGCAAUCUGGCUCCACAGCCUAAGUUCUUAGAGGUCUGUCUUGUUAUUUCUGUUUUCUAUCUUAAUUCCUUACAGAAAAUGAAAGUGUCUUUGGGCUAGCCAGGCAGGGACUUGGUUAUCUAAAAGGAGGAGAAAACAUGAAACCAUGAUCCUUUCCAGACUGAUUAAAAAGGGAAAACAAUAUUAAUAUCCCCAGGGGAGUAAUUGCAAAGUACUUAUGAAACAAGUAGAUGAAAUUUCAGACUGUAAAGUUCAAACAGUUGUCAAGUUAAAUCUUCUUGCACGAGGUCAUUUGGAAUGAUGUAGUAAACCAGAGCGAUUAACCUCUGGCUUUUCCUUGGAUGUCAGCUGGUGAUGUAACCUUAUAAUGUAUGUGCUUGUUUGUUGAACACAGUUCUUACAAACUUUACCUUGAAGGGCUCUCAAAGCUCUGCUAAGAAAAAAGACAAUAGUCUCUUGGCAUUGUCUUUUUUCUGUUGGUCCAUGGAAUAGGGUCACUGAAAAAUCAUGCCCAAUUUAUUUUCUUAAGAAAGAAACUGAUGGAGUCGUGGUGGAUAGGAGAGCUGUGCUAUUUCAGUAAACUAAUCAGAUACCUUGAAAGUGAUACGCUUUGUUUUUCAAGCUCUUUUUAACAGAUCUCAGCAUAUUCUGUACAUAUUUGUUAUUUUCCAGCCCAGUAAUUAUACUUUUUGCAUCAAUUGUGCUUGUACAACAAAAACCGAUAGAGUGUUCUGGAAAUAAAGCCAGUGGUGAAAUACUGAAAUUCUUUGUUUUACAGAAGAUUAUCUUGUCAUUUUCACCCACAACUUUCUUGUAAAAUGUUUCUGUGAAGCUUUAGAGGUAGCUAUAAAGUGGGGAAUUUAAGUCUGGUGACCACAGCCAACCUCACUGCAUCAUCAGUAGGGUAGUUGGUAAAACCACUUUGCACAGUUGUGGGCUGUGUGCUGGACAAGUAAGCAGAGUCCUUUGCAGUGUGGGUUUUCUCCAUCCACCAGAUUGAAUCACAUUCUUGCAGGUUUUCUGCAUCCCACAAUUACGGUUAUAAUGACUCACGAUUAAAAAAUCCAUUUACCACUCAGUUCCCUGGCACCCCAGAGCAUUCUGCCACUGUCCAGUUGGCACUGAUUACUUGGAAUGAACAAAAGAGCCCAUGUAAACCGUGUGUUUCUUAUCAUGUGCCUUUUACCAAAAGACUCAAAGCAGACGGUGUUUGCAACAUUCGGCAUCUUGUGUGAUAAUGAACCAUAAAGCAAGGAGGCGCUAAGGAGGAGCCCGCAGAGGGUCUAGGCUUGAUGAAUGGCCUGGGCAGAUGGCAGCGGAACAGCUACCAACUCUGACAACCCCACGCGGAGACAACGCAUGCCGCUCACCGCACUUACCUGAUUCUAGAAUGCCGUCUGCUUUAAGAUAAGAUUUGAGAUGUUUUAGGAGAAGAAGGAAACAUUUAUAUAUUAAAUACAGAAGCACCGAAACACUGCAAUGUAAAAAACAAGGCCUGUGUGAGCGUCAAAGAAAAGUUGUAUCAUCCCCAUUGGGACCGGUAUUACUUGACCUGAUUGAAUAACCUUUAGGUCAGACUAUGAAAGGCAUAAAGUUAGUUUUCAGA